rnacentral:rRNA from 1 species
GAUGAACGCUAGCGGCAGGCUUAACACAUGCAAGUCGAGGGGUAACAGGGAGAAGCUUGCUUUUCCGCUGACGACCGGCGCACGGGUGCGUAACGCGUAUAGAACCUACCUUUUACAGAGGAAUAGCCCAGAGAAAUUUGGAUUAAUGCCUCAUAGUAUUAUAGAAUGGCAUCAUUUUAUAAUUAAACAUUUAUGGGUAAAAGAUGGCUAUGCGUUCUAUUAGCUAGUUGGUAAGGUAACGGCUUACCAAGGCUACGAUAGAUAGGGGUCCUGAGAGGGAGAUCCCCCACACUGGUACUGAGACACGGACCAGACUCCUACGGGAGGCAGCAGUGAGGAAUAUUGGACAAUGGAGGCAACUCUGAUCCAGCCAUGCCGCGUGCAGGAAGACGGCCCUAUGGGUUGUAAACUGCUUUUAUAUAGGAAGAAACCUUUCCACGUGUGGAAAGCUGACGGUACUAUAAGAAUAAGCACCGGCUAACUCCGUGCCAGCAGCCGCGGUAAUACGGAGGGUGCAAGCGUUAUCCGGAAUCAUUGGGUUUAAAGGGUCCGUAGGCGGACUAAUAAGUCAGGGGUGAAAUCCAACAGCUUAACUGUUGAACUGCCUUUGAUACUGUUAGUCUUGAAUUAUAUGGAAGUAGAUAGAAUGUGUAGUGUAGCGGUGAAAUGCUUAGAGAUUACACAGAAUACCGAUUGCGAAGGCAGUCUACUACGUAUA